rnacentral:lncRNA from 1 species
GCACGGUCCAAGAAGCGGCUGGAGGCUGGAGGCGAGGGCCGCACCAGUCGUAGGCCAGGGCUGCACGCCGGGAAGGGACGGUGCCACCCCAGCAGCAUCGCAGCAAGUCUCCCGGCGUCUGCAGCUCUUCCUGUAACCAGAGGCCUUUUCCUGUGUUUGAACUCGCCACCAAUGGCUGUCCUACCAAAGGCCGCCUUCUCGGCACUGACAGCUGCUUCGAACGCCAGUCACUCAGCUCAUCCGCCCAGCUGCGCGCCUCUGCUCACAUCACUCUGAGGCCUCUGGUUUGUCGGCUUCAAAGCACCUCACAAGUGGGGCCUUGCCUCCCUCAGGGUGGGUGUCAAAGGAAGGCAAAGCCUAGCGAGACUCGUGACACCUCUGGAAUUCAGGCUAUAUCUCAUUUCGCAGAAGAAAUCAGGACAAAGAGGAGCCUACUGUCUACUCCCAGGGCCAUGUGAGCAGGAAGUGGAAGGACAGGGGCCAGGUCUGCCCGUGUGUAGUCUGAAGAGGGUCUCCCUCAUCCUUGCAUUUAAAACUGUUUUUCUCAAGGAGUCAGCCUCCUCAAAGGUGCCUCGGCGAUGGUGACAGUUGAGAGGGCAAAGGGAAGGGAAGGGGAAAGAGGAUGUUCCGUGGAUGGAACUCCACCCCCCAGAUGGGGCCUCUUCUUUUCGGUCUCAUUCGUUCACCUGUUCAUCCAACAACGUGUGUUGAGUAACUUGCAAGGUGACCUCCAGACACUGGCGAGACCACCACAAACAGGCGAAGUUGGGGUUCCCCUGAAAAUUAUGUUCUGUGCUCCGUAUUAGUUCCCAAGUAAGACUAUUUUUUGGUAAAAGGGUUCUGGUAACACCUUUUCAUUUUUAAAACAGUAAAAUCUUUCCAAUACCUAGCUUUUGAAGCAUUAACUGGUACUCCUCAAGCACACACACCAAGUGGAGACUUUGCCACUACACAAAGCCGCUUAGCUGCUGAUCUUCCAACGCCUGGUCAUUUAAAAUCUGUCAAGAAAAGACACCCACGAAGAGAACUUUUCCGGACAGCAUCACCUCCACUCGCUGACAAAGGUGGGAGAGAAACAAACCGAUGGUAUAGAUGGCGAGCUGAACUCUUACAGUGUUACAACCACACCGGGGGCACCAGCACAUUCUCCUUGUGGGUGUCCUGUAGAGGCUGGGACAGGUGUUGUGAACACUCUAAAGCUGACCCUCUUGCUUGGCGGAGGGUGGGGGUGGGUGGAGCAGUUAGCAGCCUUGCUGAGUUUCAGAGUCGAACUUUGAUUGCCACCUGCAAGUAUUCCCACCUGGGAUUUUUGGUUUGGAAAGUUAAAGCCAAAAGUCAUAAUUUAGCAGCUUCCACAGUGCUACGUGCAUUAAUUAUCUUUUGGGGUAUAAC